AUUGAACGCUAGCGGGAUGCUUAACACAUGCAAGUCGAACGAGUGGCGGACGGGUGAGUAAUAUAUCGGAACGUGCCCAGUAGCGGGGGAUAACUACUCGAAAGAGUGGCUAAUACCGCAUACUAAUGGAGCGGCCGAUAUCGGAUUAGCGAGUUGGGGGGGUAAAGGCUCACCAAGGCCACGAGCCGUAGCUGGGUUGAGAGGAAGACCAGCCACACUGGGACUUAGACACGGCCCAUACUCCUACGGUAGGCAGCAGUGGGGAAUUUUGGACAAUGGGCGAAACCCUGAUCCAGCCAUCCCGCGUGUAUGAGAAGGCCUUCGGGUUGUAAAGUACUUUUGGCAGAGAAGCGGUAUCUGACGAAUAAGCACCGGCUAACUACGUGCCAGCAGCCGCGGUAAUUC
rnacentral:rRNA from 1 species